CCUACGGUAGGCAGCAGUGAGGAAUAUUGGUCAAUGGGCGGGAGCCUGAACCAGCCAAGUCGCGUGAGGGAGUAAUGCCCUAUGGGUUGUCAACCUCUUUUGUCGGGGAGCAAAAGCCGGACGUGUCCGGCUGUGAUGGUACCCGGAGAAAAAGCAUCGGCUAACUCCGGGGCAGCAGCCGCGGUAAUACGGAGGAAUCGAGCGUUAGCCGGAUUUAUUGGGUUUCAAGGGUGCGCAGUCGGAUUUUUAAGUCAGCGGUCAAAUCGUGGGGCUCAAACCCAUCCAGCCGUUGAAACUGGGGAUCUAGAGUGUGCGAGAGGUAUGCGGAAUGCGUGGUGUAGCGGUGAAAUGCAUAGAUAUCACGCAGAACCCCGAUUGCGAAGGCAGCAUACCGGUGCACAACUGACGCUCAGGCACGAAAGCGUGGGUAUCGAACAGGAUUAGAUACCCUGGUAGUC
rnacentral:rRNA from 1 species